rnacentral:rRNA from 1 species
GAUGAACGCUGGCGGCGUGCCUAAUACAUGCAAGUCGAGCGAAGCGGGGACGGGUGAGUAACACGUGGAUAACCUCCUAUAAGACUGGUAUAACUUCGGGAAACCGGUGCUAAACCGGAUAAUUAUAGAUGGAUCCGCGCUGCAUUAGCUAGUUGGUAAGGUAACGGCUUACCAUGGCAACGAUGCAUAGCCGACCUGAGAGGGAGUUCGGCAACACUGGAACUGAGACACGGUCCAGACUCCUACGGGAGGCAGCAGUAGGGAGUCUUCCACAAGGGGCGAAAGCCUGACGGAGCAACUCCGCGUGGGUGAUGAAGGUCUUCGGAUCGUAAAACUCUGUUAUUAGGGAAGCGGUUCAUGAUCAGAAAGCCUCGGCUAACUACGUGCCAGCAGCCGCGGUAGGUC